rnacentral:rRNA from 1 species
GACAGAGGGUGCAAACGUUUGUUCGGAAUUACUGGGCGUAAAGCGAGUGUAGGCGGUUUGAUAAGUCGGAUGUGAAAGCCCCGGGCUCAACCCGGGAAGUGCACUCGAUACUGUCAAGCUAGAGUAUCGGAGAGGUUGGUGGAAUUCUCGGUGUAGAGGUGAAAUUCGUAGAUAUCGAGAGGAACACCGGUGGCGAAGGCGGCCAACUGGACGAAUACUGACGCUGAGACUCGAAAGCGUGGGGAGCAAACAGG